GAUGAACGCUGGCGGCGUGCCUAAUACAUGCCAGUCGAGCGAACGGACGAGAAGCUUGCUUCUCUGAUGUUAGCGGCGGACGGGUGAGUAACACGUGGAUAACCUACCUAUAAGACUGGGAUAACUUCGGGAAACCGGAGCUAAUACCGGAUAAUAUUUUGAACCGCAUGGUUCAAAAGUGAAAGACGGUCUUGCUGUCACUUGUAGAUGGAUCCGCGCUGCAUUAGCUAGUUGGUAAGGUAACGGCUUACCAAGGCAACGAUGCAUAGCCGACCUGAGAGGGUGAUCGGCCACACUGGAACUGAGACACGGUCCAGACUCCUACGGGAGGCAGCAGUAGGGAAUCUUCCGCAAUGGGCGAAAGCCUGACGGAGCAACGCCGCGUGAGUGAUGAAGGUCUUCGGAUCGUAAAACUCUGUUAUUAGGGAAGAACAUAUGUGUAAGUAACUGUGCACAUCUUGACGGUACCUAAUCAGAAAGCCACGGCUAACUACGUG
rnacentral:rRNA from 1 species